GGGAUGGGGUGACUAGUGACAGAGUGUGGAAGGGGGUGACUAGGGACAGAGGGGGUGACUAGUGACAGAGUGAGGGAGCGGGUGACACAGUGACAGAGUUAGGGAGGGAGUGACUAGUGACAGUCACCCCCUCCCUCCCUCUGUCACUAGUCACUCCCUCCCUCUGUCACUAGUCAAUCCUCCCUCACUCUGCCACUAGUCAUCUUUUCCCUCCCUCACUCUGCCACUAGUCACCCAUUCCCUAACUCUGUCACUAGUCACCCCCUCUCCC